AUUGAACGCUGGCGGCAGGCCUAACACAUGCAAGUCGAGCGAGCGGCGGACGGGUGAGUAAUGUAUGGGGACUGCCCGUUAGCGGUGGAUAACUACUGGAAACGGUAGCUAAUACCGCCUCCUCUCGCAUAACCCAUAUGGGAUUAGCUAGUAGGUGAGGUAAUGGAUCACCUAGGCGACGAUCCCUCGAUGGUCUGAGAGGAUGUUCAGCCACACUGGGACUGAGACACGGCCCAGACGCCUACGGAGGCAGCAGUGGGGAAUAUUGGACAAUGGGCGCAAGCCUGAUGCAGCCAUGCCGCGUGUAUGAAGAAGGCCCGAGGGUUGUAAAGUACUUUCAGUGGGGAGGCGUUACCGACAGAAGAAGCACCGGCUAACUCCGUGCCAGCAGCCGCGGUAAUAC
rnacentral:rRNA from 1 species